UACAUUAGGAAAGCACCUAACAGUGUUGCGG
rnacentral:piRNA from 1 species